GAUGAACGCUGGCGGCGUGCCUAAUACAUGCAAGUCGAGCGAACGGACGAGAAGCUUGCUUCUCUGAUGUUAGCGGCGGACGGGUGAGUAACACGUGGAUAACCUACCUAUAAGACUGGGAUAACAUCGGGAAACCGGAGCUAAUACCGGAUAAUAUUUUGAACCGCAUGGUUCAAAAGUGAAAGACGGUCUUGCUGUCACUUAUAGAUGGAUCCGCGCUGCAUUAGCUAGUUGGUAAGGUAACGGCUUACCAAGGCAACGAUGCAUAGCCGACCUGAGAGGGUGAUCGGCCACACUGGAACUGAGACACGGUCCAGACUCCUACGGGAGGCAGCAGUAGGGAAUCUUCCGCAAUGGGCGAAAGCCUGACGGAGCAACGCCGCGUGAGUGAUGAAGGUCUUCGGAUCGUAAAACUCUGUUAUUAGGGAAGAACAUAUGUGUAAGUAACUGUGCACAUCUUGACGGUACCUAAUCAGAAAGCCACGGCUAACUACGU
rnacentral:rRNA from 1 species